GCACACAGUAAACGUUUGUGAAUGAAUGGGU
rnacentral:piRNA from 1 species